UCCAUCGUGAGGUGGAAUCUGAAGGAAGCUUACGGCAAAAUUCUGCUCCGAGGAACACGAAUCAUAUCAGGCACAAACACUGUGGGUAAGGUUGCUAAUCAAACUGAAGCCCCAAGAUUACACAGACAGUGUAGUGUAAAUAUGGCGGAGACAUGGAAGGAAAGUAAACAUC
rnacentral:ncRNA from 1 species